rnacentral:rRNA from 1 species
GACAGAGGGUGCAAACGUUGUUCGGAAUUACUGGGCGUAAAGCGCGUGUAGGCGGCUAUGCAAGUCGGGCGUGAAAUCCCACGGCUCAACCGUGGAAGUGCACUCGAAACUGCGUAGCUAGAGUCUCGGAGAGGAAGGUGGAAUACUUGGUGUAGAGGUGAAAUUCGUAGAUAUCAAGUGGAACACCGGUGGCGAAGGCGACCUUCUGGACGAUGACUGACGCUGAGACGCGAAAGCGUGGGGAGCGAACAGG